rnacentral:rRNA from 1 species
GGGAACUCCCAGACAGUUCGCGAGAUUGCGACGUUUGCUAGGCCGCAUUCCCCCAUGUUCGUUUUUCUUUGUGAGACAAGAAAAAAAUCAGAGAAGAUGAGAAGGGUUAGAUCACGACUUAGUUUGAAGGGUUUUGAUGGUGUGGAUAGUGAUGGCACGAGUGGAGGUCUCGCUCUCUUUUCACAU